rnacentral:rRNA from 1 species
AUCCGGUACUAAAUGUGCCCGAUCUCGUCUGAUUUCUGAAGCUAAGCAGGGUCAGGCCUGGUUAGUACUUGGAUGGGAGACCACCUUGGAAUAUCAGGU